CUGGGUUACAGUGCUCAGAGGCCCACUCCAGGCCAGGGACUUCCUUCUGCUGGCUUCAUGGCGGCGCGGUCUGCCUUCCGGAUGCUGCGGCGGCUCCUCAAGUCCAGCGCCCGGGGCUGCAGCUCAGGGGCUCCGGUGACGCAGCCCCGUCCCGGGGAGCCCUCGAGACCCGCCAGGGAGGGGCUGUCCAUGAGGCUACAGUACCUCCAGGAGCACGCAGCUCCCUUCUCUGCCUUCCUCACCGACAGCUUUGGCCGGCAGCACAGUUACCUGCGGAUCUCUCUCACGGAGAAGUGCAACCUCCGAUGCCGGUAUUGCAUGCCUGAGGAGGGUGUGUCCCUGACCCCCAAGGCUGACCUACUGACCACAGAGGAGAUCCUGACCCUUGCUCGGCUCUUUGUGAAGGAAGGCGUGGAUAAGAUCCGUCUCACAGGUGGAGAACCGCUCAUCCGGCCGGAUGUGGUGGACAUUGUGGCACAACUUCAUCGACUAGAAGGGCUGAGAACCAUUGGUGUCACCACCAACGGCAUCAACCUAGCCCGGCUGCUGCCCCAGCUCCAGCAGGCAGGGCUCAACGCUGUUAACAUCAGCCUGGACACUCUGGUUCCUGCCAAGUUUGAGUUCAUCGUCCGCAGAAAAGGCUUCCACAAAGUCAUGGAGGGUAUCCACAGAGCCAUUGAGCUGGGUUACAAGCCUGUGAAGGUGAACUGUGUGGUGAUGCGAGGCCUGAAUGAAGACGAGCUUCUGGACUUCGUGGCCUUGACAGAGGGUCUUCCCUUGGAUGUGCGCUUCAUUGAGUACAUGCCGUUUGACGGUAACAAGUGGAACUUCAGGAAGAUGGUUAGCUACAAGGAGAUGCUGGACACCAUUCGGCAGCAGUGGCCAGGGCUGGAGAAGCUGCCAGAGGAGGACUCCAGCACAGCCAAGGCCUUUAAGAUCCCUGGCUUCCAGGGCCAGAUCAGCUUCAUCACAUCCAUGUCAGAGCAUUUCUGUGGGACCUGCAACCGGCUGCGCAUCACAGCCGAUGGGAACCUCAAGGUCUGCCUCUUUGGGAACUCUGAGGUGUCCCUGCGGGACCACCUGCGGGGAGGAGCCUCUGAGGAGGAGCUUCUGAGAAUCAUCGGGGCAGCAGUAGGUAGGAAGAAGCGGCAGCAUGCAGGCAUGUUCAAUAUUGCCCAGAUGAAGAACCGGCCCAUGAUCCUCAUCGGGCUGUUUUUGGUGCUUCAAGAUUCCCCACCAGCAAGUUGGAGCACUUUCUCCCGGGAUCCCCUCUGUGUUUGGAAUCUGAGUGCCAGAGAGCAUCUCUCUGGCCAGAUGACAACUUUGCAGAAGAGACUCCGCAUGCCCAUGGCCCUUCCUCUGUCUCAGCAGUGUCUGGGGUCUAGCUCCCCUCAGAGACGCUACAGCUGCUACCCCAACUCCAACACUCACUCAAAGUGCCUCAGCAUAGGGUCCCAGGAUCCUGCUGUCCCCUCAGGACCAGGGCCAACCUCAACUCAGCUAACUCAUGUGGAUUCAGAAGGACGGGCAGCUAUGGUAGAUGUGGGCGGGAAGCCAGAUACAGAGCGGGUGGCCGUGGCCUCUGCUCUGGUCCUUCUUGGACCUGUGGCCUUCAAGCUUGUCCAGCAGAACCAGCUGAAGAAGGGAGAUGCCCUGGCAGUGGCCCAGCUGGCUGGAGUUCAGGCAGCCAAGCUAACUAGUCACCUGAUCCCGCUGUGCCACCAUGUGGCCCUGAGCCACGUGCAGCUGCAUCUGGAGCUGGACAGUCCACGCAAUGCCGUGCUGAUCCAGGCAUCCUGCCGGGCCCGCGGCCCCACUGGGGUAGAGAUGGAGGCACUGACCUCAGCUGCCGUGGCUGCCCUUACCCUGUAUGACAUGUGCAAGGCAGUCAGCAGGGACAUCGUAGUGGCGGAGGUCAAGCUCCUUAGCAAGACUGGAGGCCAGCGGGGGGACUUCCACCGGGCUUAAGAGUACCCCACUCACUCUCCAGCCACGUCUCCCAAAGGGGUGCAGUUUGGGCCGAGGAAAAGAUGUCACAUUCCUCUAAAUCUAGUCACUAUGACCUAAGGUCACCCUGUCUCUUUACCAUUGAGAUUUAUCAUAACCUGGGAGAUGUCCUCGACAUAAGACACCUCUGGCCUUGACACCUUCCAGGACCCUAGCAAUGGAACGUUUGAUACUGGACCCCCCACAUCAGUCAUAUUAUAUGGAUUGUUUCAGAUGGACAGCUUACUUUGGGUUCUCUCUCCUCUCUUCCCUGCGGAGAUAUAAGGGCUCAUUUAGCAGAGGACCCCAUUUAGAGGAAGGAAAAGCACAAACUUCCUAAAGAAUGUAUCCCAGUGUCCCCACUCCCUGAUCUCUGGCCUCUCCUCCAAUGGAAUGAACUUACGGACUACACCCCUAAGAACUCUAGUCCUAAGAACUCAUGCCAACCCUUACCCACACCUGGUUCUGCUCACACCUGUCUGAUCUGGCACCUAUCAGAGAAAGAAGAGUCGAAGGUGACCUUCGCCCUUACAACGCACAAAUAAAGCCACGGUGCCAGCUCUGGACUUGAGGCUUAGGACCUUUGUCUGUGAGAAGAGCAUAAGCUGCUAAGUUUCGCCCAUCAGCCCCAUUCCGAGACACUCCCUGAAAGGGGGUGGGAAGAGGGACCCUAGAAAGGCCAAGGGGCAUAUUUUCACUGUGGGAGACAGUGAGAUGCAGAAUGCGUCCUAAGGCAGUGGACAGCUGGGAGUCCCAGGCUCAACUGCAUUACCAACUCUUGGGGAUCAGGCUUAUGAACUAGAACCUCCCAGUUGAUGCACCCAUACAACAGCCUGGCAUGCUGGGUUCUCAAAGGUGGUCUGUUUGCAGAGGUGCCCCUGGCCUGGUGUCCCCUCUGCCUUGUGUGAUGGCAAAUGCUGAACAAUUGGCUCUUUAAAACAUGAACGGGUUCCUGUGACAAAUGUCCCCAACUCAAGCCAUCCACAUAACCUCAGUUGGUUUGGAACAUUCCAGAAAAUGUACAUUGGCCCUCAUGGAACUGGAUGAAACUGCCAGGAGCUAGCUUCAGCCCACCACUGGCCCAGCUCACUCCUGUACAACCCAAGUCCACAUAGGAAGAAAAACUUCUAGGCAGGUUGGGCAGCUGGCAAGUGGUCUUGGCAUGAAGGUUGACAGAUGUCCUGAGGAGGUGGUCACAGCUCCUCAGUUGGUGGAAAUAGGAGUGGAUGGGAAGCACCUGUACCCGACUCUACCCACCUGGAGAGCGUCGUCCUUCUACUCCCUGGACAAACUUACAUUUGGGGAAGUUUGCCGCUGCUGAGAAGGGAUGUGUUGGCUGAACUGUGAAUCUUGCAUUGUGCACAAAGUUACCUGGAGCAGUGGGCCCACAGGCAGCAGGAAGGGUAGGGCAGUACUGGGGUAGACAUCAUCUAAAACUGAGGACCCCCGCUGGGCACCAGUCACUUCCUGCUCAGUCACCCACAGUGGUCCGUGGUCCAAGGCACUGUUGAAAUCUGGUUACAA